CUGCGGAGGGAUCAUUGCUGGAACGCGCCCCAGGCGCACCCAGAAACCCUUUGUGAACUUAUACCUUUUGUUGCCUCGGCGCAUGCUGGCCUCUAGUAGGCCCCUCACCCCGGUGAGGAGACGGCACGCCGGCGGCCAAGUUAACUCUUGUUUUUACACUGAAACUCUGAGAAAAAACACAAAUGAAUCAAAACUUUCAACAACGGAUCUCUUGGUUCUGGCAUCGAUGAAGAACGCAGCGAAAUGCGAUAAGUAAUGUGAAUUGCAGAAUUCAGUGAAUCAUCGAAUCUUUGAACGCACAUUGCGCCCUCUGGUAUUCCGGAGGGCAUGCCUGUUCGAGCGUCAUUUCAACCCUCAAGCAUUGCUUGGUGUUGGGGCACUGCUUUUAACGAAGCAGGCCCUGAAAUCUAGUGGCGAGCUCGCCAGGACCCCGAGCGCAGUAGUUAAACCCUCGCUCUGGAAGGCCCUGGCGGUGCCCUGCCGUUAAACCCCCGACUUUUGAAAAUUUGACCUCGGAUCAGGUAGGAAUACCCGCUGAACUUAAGCAUAUCAAUA
rnacentral:rRNA from 1 species